rnacentral:rRNA from 1 species
GACGAACGCUGGCGGCGUGCUUAACACAUGCAAGUCGAACGGAAAGGCCCUGCUUUUGUGGGGUGCUCGAGUGGCGAACGGGUGAGUAACACGUGAGUAACCUGCCCUUGACUUUGGGAAAACUUCAGGAAACUGGGGCUAAUACCGGAUAGGAGCUCCUGCUGCAUGGUGGGGGUUGGAAAGUUUCGGCGGUUGGGGAUGGACUCGCGGCUUAUCAGCUUGUUGGUGGGGUAGUGGCUUACCAAGGCUUUGACGGGUAGCCGGCCUGAGAGGGUGACCGGCCACAUUGGGACUGAGGUACGGCGCAGACUCCUACGGGAGGCAGCAGUGGGGAAUAUUGCACAGUGGGCGGAAGCCUGAUGCAGCAACGCCGCGUGCGGGAUGACGGCCUUCGGGUUGUAAACCGCUUUCGCCUGUGACGAAGCGUGAGUGACGGUAAUGGGUAAAGAAGCACCGGCUAACUACGUG